rnacentral:rRNA from 1 species
UACAGAGGGGGCAAGCGUUAUUCGGAAUUAUUGGGCGUAAAGGGCUCGUAGGCGGUUUGUCGCGUCGGGAGUGAAAACCAGGUGCUUAACACCUGGCUUGCUUUCGAUACGGGCAGACUAGAGGUAUGCAGGGGAGAACGGAAUUCCUGGUGUAGCGGUGAAAUGCGUUGAUAUGCACAGGAACUCCGGUGGCGAAGGCGGCGAGCUGGACCCUUUCUGACGCUGAAGCACGAAAGCCAGGGGAGCGAACGGG